rnacentral:tRNA from 1 species
UCCCGGGUCGUCUAACGGUAGGACGCAGGGCUCUGAACCCUGCUAUCGUGGUUCGAAUCCAUGCCCGGGAGCCA